rnacentral:rRNA from 1 species
UACGGGGGGAGCAAGCGUUGUUCGGAUUUACUGGGCGUAAAGGGCGCGUAGGCGGGAUGGCAAGUCGGUCGUGAAAGCCUUCGGCUCAACCGAAGAACGUCGGCCGAUACUGCCGUUCUUGAGGGAUGCAGAGGAGACUGGAAUUCCCGGUGUAGCGGUGAAAUGUGUAGAGAUCGGGAGGAACACCGGUGGCGAAGGCGGGUCUCUGGGCAUCUCCUGACGCUGAGGCGCGAAAGCGUGGGGAGCAAACGGG